UUCCAAUAUAUGCUCUUCAGUUCAGGUAAAU
rnacentral:sRNA from 1 species